CUGAUGGGAAACAAGGGCGUAUGGUGGAUGCCUUGGCUUAAGAAGGCGAUGAAGGACGUAGCGUGGCGGCGAUACGCUUCGGGGAGGUGCCGAGCAACCUUUGAUCCGAAGAUUUCCGAAUGGGGAAACCCCUUCGUGUAAAACACGAAGACGUGCUUCGCACGAACAAGUUGAAAGUGUAAAGUGUAAAGUCGAAAGUGAAUACCUCGUGUAUCUUACUUUUUACUUUCCCGCCUCUUCGGCGGGUCGCCGAUGAGGUGAUAACUUUCUACUUUGGACUCGCUCGUGCGGAGCACGAGCAUACCCUGGGAAGUAAAACAUUUCAGUACCAGGAGGAGUAGAAACCAAUAAGUAUUCCGUCAGUAGCGGCGAGCGAACGCGGAGAAGCCCAAACCGAAGCAUCACACAAGGUGUGAUGCAGAAUUAUGAAUUAAGAAGUAUGAAUUAUGAAUGAAGAAAAAGUCUUCCCAUAAUUCUGAAUUCUUACUUCCUGCUUCUGCAUCGUGCUCUGCGCGAUGCUUCGGGGUUGUAAGGCAGUGACGUCGUAUUUAUACGAGGAAAGUUACCAAAUUGUUUGUUAGUAGAAGUCGCUGGAAAGCGACACCCCAGUGGGUGAUAGUCCCGUACACGAAAACAAACAGUCUUUCUUGUUACUGUUCUUGAGUACCUCAAGACAUGAAUAGCUUGAGGGAAUCCGCCCGAACUAACCGGCAAGGCUAAAUACUUCAUAAGACCGAUAGUGAACUAGUACCGUGAGGGAAAGGUGAAAAGCAGCCCGGUGAGGGCGGUGAAAUAGACCUGAAACAAUAUGCUUACAAGGAGUCAGAGGCGUGCUAAGCACUCAGUUUAUAAAGUAAAAAGUUCAUAAAGUUCAUAAAGUGGGGAGAAAGAUUUUCUUUUUCUUAGACUUUCAACUUUACAACUUUCAACUUGUAACUUGCGCGCUUCGCGCGCUCAUGGCGUGCCUAUUGAAGAAUGAGCCAACGAGUUGAUGCAUACUGCAAGGCUAAGCCCGACAUCGGGUGGAG
rnacentral:rRNA from 1 species